GACGAACGCUGGCGGCGUGCCUAAUACAUGCAAGUAGAACGCUGAAGGAGGAGCUUGCUUCUCUGGAUGAGUUGCGAACGGGUGAGUAACGCGUAGGUAACCUGCCUGGUAGCGGGGGAUAACUAUUGGAAACGAUAGCUAAUACCGCAUAAUAGCAGUUAUUGCAUGAUAACUGUUUGAAAGGUGCAAUUGCACCACUACCAGAUGGACCUGCGUUGUAUUAGCUAGUUGGUGGGGUAACGGCUCACCAAGGCGACGAUACAUAGUCGACCUGAGAGGGUGAUCGGCCACACUGGGACUGAGACACGGCCCAGACUCCUACGGGAGGCAGCAGUAGGGAAUCUUCGGCAAUGGACGGAAGUCUGACCGAGCAACGCCGCGUGAGUGAAGAAGGUUUUCGGAUCGCAAAGCUCUGUUGUAAGAGAAGAACGAGUGUGAGAGUGGAAAGUUCACACUGUGACGGUAUCUUACCUGAAAGGGACGGCUAACUACGUG
rnacentral:rRNA from 1 species